rnacentral:lncRNA from 1 species
CAGUGUGUUUGUGUGUAUGUGUGUGCAGUAGUGUUGUGUGCCGAGGCGGUGUGCAGUAGUCUAGAGGCCAGAAGUAAAUGUAAUCUGAUUUCCUCUGCAGUACAUCGAGUCUCCCGACGUGGAGAAGGUAAAGAGAUUGCUAAGCACUGACGCAGAGGCCGUUAGUGUCCGCUGGGAGGUGAUAGCUGAGGAUGAGACCAAGGAGGCAGACAACAAAGGCUGUCUGGUCAACCUGGACUCAGCAGAUGGGGCAUGGCUCCUCUGUGAUGGAGUACCAGGUGCAGGUAGACGGUGUGAAGGCCAAGCUGAAGGAGAUGGGCGCCAGCAAGAAACAACAGGAGGACCUCAUCAUGAAGGUGGAGAACCAGGUGCUGAAACUGGCCUCGCUUCAGGAGCAGCUGGACUCACUGAUCGAGAAGUGACCCAAGUGACCACCAGGGGGCAGCCAAGCGUCAAAUGGGUGCUGUGAGACCGGCUGGGGAAUAGAGAAGAAGCAUCUGCCACCACUGAAAGAGCACUCCUCCUUUACAUACAGUUUCAUUCCAUUAUAUAUUUUCCCUUUUGCCUCCAGACAUCAUGGACUUGUUGGAGGACUCGUGUUUCCUGUUUUUGUAUUCUUCCUAUUUUAUUUAAUAGGUUGGUAGAUCUCUGUAAAUAAACUCUUUGUUAAGCCAUUGAAUCGUUUGUGUUUGACAUUUCCUAGUGACGGAUCAACACUGUCUCACCUCAUUUGACCUAGCAAUGGAAACCACUGAGUCUGAC